GAUGAAGAACGCAGCGAAAUGCGAUAAGUAAUGUGAAUUGCAGAAUUCAGUGAAUCAUCGAAUCUUUGAACGCACAUUGCGCCCAUCAGUAUUCUGUUGGGCAUGCCUGUCCGAGCGUCAUUUCAACCCUCAGGGCCCGUUCGCGGGAACUGGUGUUGGGGAUCGGCCUCCCCCCGGAGGCCGGCCCCGAAAUGCAGUGGCGGCUCUACCGCGAUCUCCUCUGUGUAGUAGCGAUACCUCGCAGCUGGAUAGUGGUGGUGCCACGCCGUAAAAUCCCAACUUUACCAAGGUUGACCUCGGAUCAGGUAGGAAUACCCGCUGAACUUAAGCAUAUCAAUAAGCGGAGA
rnacentral:misc_RNA from 1 species